CGGGAGAUUUGAAGCCUCCAUUCUGCUUCCGCGUCUGAAAGAUAGGACACGCUCAGAACUUUGCUCGUUUUAUUCAGCGCUUUUUCAUCUCAUCGAUCAAAGUCUCACAGGUCAUCAUGCAGAAAAAGGUCAUUUUUUACCCUGGAAGGGUUAAGGUCACGUUCCGUGAGGGACCGCUGGGAUAUAUUCUGCAGGAUCCAACUGACCAGGCCAGGGCGAUAAAAUACAACCCAUCUUUGCAGGACAAGUCUGCACCAAUUAAGGAGGAGCUUGUCAGACAAAAUGCUCUGAAUGUGGUCCGUCAAAGAGGAGGUGAUGCAUUAGACCAAAAAUAAGUUUUUGGAGAGUACAUCCUGCAGUUUGGAAAAUACAAGGGGAAGUCCUUCCGGUGGCUCCUUGAAAAUGAUGUGAGGUACACCAUCUACCUGAUAAAGAACCUUCAGCAGGAAGAGGCUGCAGGAGUUACGAUGACUGAGGGACAACACAGCAAGAGCAGCCUGGUCUCUUUUGUGAAGUACGCCCACAGCUUUGAGGAAAUCCAGUCUCUUUUAAGCUGUGUCUAAAACUCCAGCUGCACCAGCGGCCUCAUUGGAGAAAGACCAGCUGCUUGGUUUCAGCGCUCGUGCCAAGAGUACGUGGAGGGAGAUUUGGGACAGCAGAGCUGAUGGUUAAGCUUCCUUUAUAAUGGGGGCAAAAUGUGUCCCAGGGACACGGAUGUAUAAACUGCAACAAUACCCGUUGAAGCAGCAGCAGUCUGCCCGUCCGCGUGUGCCUGCCUCAAGUGCCACGUCCGAGCCCACAGGUCAAUUGUUUAUUUUCCCUCAUUUGCCCUUCAGAAGAGAAUCUUUGCAAUUAUGUCAAUAAAUAUAUGUACCUUAUUCUUUGUAUAGCACAGUUACAUUUGAAAAAAUCCAAGUGCAGCAUAAAAGCAACCUUUAACUCUUCUUUGUCAAGCAUACAGAGAUGGAUGAAGAUGCUGAGCUGGAGAGUGCAAUGCUGAACAUCACCCCCUCUAAGCUACUGGUGCAAUCGCCAGCACAAUCUUCACCAGUGUUUUCAGCUGCUGAAGUGAUACACUCCAUGGAAACAGCAACAGUGUGUUGGCUGUGUGUCACUAACAAAUCUUUGUGCUGUUGACAUUAUACUAACUGUUCAAGGGACUAUGAAUUGAUUCCCCCACCAUGAUGAACUGAUAAAUCCCCGUUCUGGAACCAUCUGCUGUCCUUUCAAAACCACUGACUGCCACUAAAAAGGAACUGCGUCUGUCUCCUGUGGAUGCACCAGCUCUGAAAAUGCCUGUGCCCCUUCCUAAAGAGCUGAUGUUUCUUGUGCAGGAACAAUUGGCUUCUACACAAACAAAGAAAAGUGUUUCAGCGACAGCAGAGAGCAGUAUUUCUCGAGCGUGCAGGACACUUUCUUUUGAGGAAUGUAACAAAGAUAGACCUCAUCCCAUAGCGUCCCACACAAAGCUGAGGCAUCGCAUGAACCAUGUUCCUCUGCUCCUUCUUCUUCAGUGUGCAGCCCACCACCUUUGUGAUAGACAGCGCAAAGCACACAACUCUUCCUAGAGCUCCUGCUCCACAGCUUCCUGGAUACGAUCAUGACAUACAUCAGAGGAAGUGAUCUCAUCAACAGAGGAUCUGGAUGAAUACAGAGCUGGAAUCCAUGGGUCUGUGGCCAGGCUCUCCUCCUGUGAGCAACCCCAUGAAGACUGUGGCGUUUACCUCCUCAGCCUGAGCUGAUAGACACAGUCUCUGAUCUGCCUAAGGUCUUUUCCAUUUACAGAGAGCAUGGUAUGGAGAAGGAGAUGACGACAUGGAAAGAGUUUCAGAAGUCUCAAUUUUACAACAUGGAAAGAGAGAUGGGUUUCAGAAAAAAGUAAAUGAGAAAUUUCCCCAUGUAAAUAUAUUUUGCUUGUGUUUAUUCUGCCUGUUAAAGUGUUGAGAAAACAAUAAAAACUACUCAGAAA